GGUUAACCCGUCGGCCUGACACAGCCAGAUGGAGCCUGGGAUUGGCGGUGACCCAGGACGGGGAGCCAGAGCUGGGGACCCCAAACAGGAAUGGGCAAUGGAGUCGAAGGGCCCCAGCAUUGAGAAAAAAGGUCCAUAUCUGAUGGGCAAGGGUCCAUCAAUACAAGCCAGGUUCCAAAGACAGAGAGAUUUGGCCCGGGCUACAUUAAAGAAGAAGGGCAUGUUGGUAGUACCUGGGAAAGGAAAAACUGUUUCUAAAAAGUCUGUAAAGUUCAAUAAAGGCUACGCGGCUCUCAGCCAGGCUUCUGACGAAACACUAGUUUCUCUGGAUUCGGACAGUGAUGCAGAGCUGGAGUCUAGAUGUUCCUCUGGCUAUUCCUCUGCAGAGCAAGUUUCCCAAGACCUGAAUCGGCAGCUCCUUCAGGACGGAUAUCACUUGGAUGAGAUUCCAGACGAUGAGGACCUGGAUUUGAUCCCACCAAAACCUGUGCGUUCCGUGUCCUGUCCCUGUUGCCUAGGGGAGUCCUGGUCCUGCAGCAUCCAGUGAAUACUCGUGAGAGGAAGUUCCCCUUCCCCCAAGUUCAGAAAGAACCCUCUAGCAUCACCUCUUCUAUCUGAAGGUCAUUGUGGAGUGCAGUGCGGAAGCAGGAGGUAGUCCUUGCUUACCAUGCCUGGUAGAUGGCUGUGCUCCUUGCUUGUUACAGAACAUUCACCAAGAACUUGUCUGUGUUACACGUGCAGUAGAUAAACCUUUGGUGAAGUGUUUCCAUUUUUUGCCCACGUGUUGGGCAUGCGUAAAGUCUUCUACCUGCAGUCUCUUGGUGGGAUUCAUCUCUCAUACUGACAAAGAGAACAUAUGCUUAUGAUUGGAGAGAAGAGAGAAAAUAGAUUUUUCAAGUGUGUCCAAAUCUUACCUUUUGAUGCCCAAAGAGAGGACACACAUCGUGAUGUUUAGUUGUAACGUUAAGCUGAAUUUGGAUCUGCUUUGCCUAACGUAUGACUCACACUCUUUUGCUAGCUCAGUAUCUAGUAUAGCUUUUGGUGUUCUGGAUCUAUGGGCCGUCAUCUAGCUUUGUUCUACCUUUAGAUACAUCUAGAUAUAUGGUUUUCUGAAUGGCAGACUCCCUACAUGUUACUGAUUGCAGAGAAAGAUUCAAAUCAAGUUACACUGUGAGGUCUGUGAACAAACAAGACACUCUAAUGUUACAUUGAAAUUGCAAUCAAUCUUUCCUGUUUGAAAAGAGGGAGCCAUGCUGUUUAUUGAGGUAGUUAACAGUAUAAAGAACACAAACUGUGCUAUAAAGAGCAAUGAAUCAAUCAAAUUGCACUGACCGGCAGAGCUCUUCAAACAACCCGUAUUCAUAUAUUAUAACAAUAUUAUAAAACACAGAGAAUUUAUUAGUAAUCACAUCUUUUAAAACAAGAAAGGUCUUAUUUAUUUUUUUUAUACCUAUUUUAGAAAGGUUUAGAGUGUAUGGUAUAUAUCUCCCAUAAAUGGGGUAUAUUGACGUUGGCAGGCUUAUGCAAUGUAUGAUCAUAUACUGUAACUAAACCCCCAUAAUUUUGCCUAAACUAGCACCAUGACAAAAGUGCGCAUGUUCAAGUGAGUGCAACCUUUCUGUUCUGUGUUUGUGUAAAAUAUAAUAUAUAUAUAUUUUUUUUUCUUCACCUCCUGCUUGAAGGGAACAGCACUGAAUCUGUGCAACACUAUCAAACCAAAUAUUUUAAUGCAAACUGUAUAAAUUAUAAUAUAUUGCUUUUUUUCUAUUGGGUGUCUUGAAGUGACCCUAAAAUAUUAAUAUAAAUUGUGUAUACCAGUCUAAUACAUGCCUGUUUAAAAUCAAUGCAAUGCUGUGAGAUGUAUAUUACUAACCCAUAGUGGUCCUUUAAAGAUUCAUCUGCCAAUGAAUCUCAGUACGGGCUGUCUGUAGUAAGAUGUUAAGG